GUGCUCGCUUCGGCAGCACAUAUACUAAAAUUGGAACGAUACAGAGGAGAUUAGCGUGGCUCCUGCGCAAGGAUGACGUGAAGCGUUCCAUAUUUUU
rnacentral:snRNA from 1 species